CAACGGAAGCAGUGUCAUUAUCAACACAGGACUCUUAUCGCAUGGCUAAAACCGAUGUGGCAUGUGCCUGCAUACGUGGCAACAAAAUCCGGAGUCAUUGCAUUCUCGCGCGCCAUGGCCAAGCAUGACGAGUCAGUCUUACGGCCCGGCUACGGAGUCAGGAUCAACUGCCUCUGUCCCGCCGUCUCGCCAACGCCCAUACAUGACGAAGUGAAAUACAACUUUGCGGACGAACGAAAAGCUGAAAAGAGAGCGAUUGAUUCGCUAAA